GAGGGUAUAGCUCAGUGGUAGAGUGCGUGCUUAGCAUGCACGACGUCCUGGGUUCAAUCCCUGGUACCUCCA
rnacentral:tRNA from 1 species